rnacentral:lncRNA from 1 species
UUAUUUUAAUCAGCCAUGCUUACUAAGGUAAAUCUCUUAAACAUUUUGACCUUUAUGUCGUCAGAAAAAUAAACUAAAUGAAAUCAAUAUGCCUUUCACAACUAACCAUUUUCAAUGCUGUAACUUAAGUUGAAAGAGAAUUGUCUUUCAAAUUAUGAACAAUAUUGAGGCUCAAAUUUAAUUGCCAUUUACUAUGAGCAAAAGACCUGAACAAUCAUCAACAAAGAAGAUAUACAAAUGGUAAUUAAUCACAUUGGAAGAAGUUCAGUACCAGAUGUCAUUAGAAAACUACAAAUUUAAAUAAUGAGAUAGUACUGCCUGCCUAUUAGAACAGCCAAAAUGCAACACAAUGACAACAGCAAAUGCUGAUAAGGAUGUAGAGCAACAAGAGCUCUCAUUCAUUGCUGGUAGAAAUGCAAAAUGGCAUAGCCACUUUGAAAAAUAAAUAGAUCAUUUCUUAGAAAAUUGAACAUUCUCUUACCAUUUGAUUCACCAACUGUACUCCUUGGUGUUUAUCCAAAUGAAUUGAAAAAUUAUGUCCACACAAAAAUCUGCACACAAAUGUUUAUAGCAACUUUAUUCAUAAUUGCCAAGACUUUCAAGCACCUGAGAUGUUCUUCAGCAAGUGGAAGGAUAAUGAAACUGUGGUAUGUCUGGAUAAAGAAAUAAUACUCAGUGAUAAAAAAAAUAGCUUAUCAAGCCUUGAAAUUACAUGUAAGAAAUGCAUAUUCCUUAACUAUAUAUGAUUAAGUGAAAGAAGCAAGUCUGAAAAUUCUACACGCUGUAUGAUUCCUACUCUAUGACGUUCUGGAAAAGUCAAAAGUAUGGAAAAAGCAAAAAGAUCUGUGGUUUCCAAGCAUUGUGGGGAGGGAGGAAUAAAUAGGCAGAGCACAAAGGAUUUUUAGGGCACUGAAAGUAGUCUGUAUGAUACCACAAUGGUGGGCACAUCACAUUAUACGUUUGUCAAACCCAUAGAAUGGAUGAUUCCGAGAGUGGACUAUGGAUUUGGGGUGAUAAACAUGUGUCUAUGUAUGUUCAAAGGUUGUAACAAGUGUGCCACUGUGGUGCAGGAUGUAGCUAGUGUAAGAGGUUGUGUGCAUAGGUAGAGAUGGCUACAUUGGAACGCUGUAUUUUCUGCUCAUUUUUCCUAUGAACUUAAAAUUGCUCUAAAAAUGAAGUUUAUUGAUUUAAAAACAUCAGUAACACUUGACUAUUAAAUAUAAAAUUGUAUAAAAGUAAUAAUAUCUGCUGUUGAUUAUGUUGUAUGGACAUUGGAAUAUGUAUACACUAUUUUUUGGAGUAUAAAUUGGUACAUUAUUUCUGGCAGUAUAUUUGGCAAAUAACAGUGAGCAUUUUAAAGUGACUACUCUUUGCCAGGCAUUGAUAUAGUCUCUUUACGUGUAUUAAUUGAUUUAAUUGUUUAAAAAUUAUUCUGAGGUAGCAAAUAUGUUUAUUCCCAUUUUGCAGAUGAGAAAGUGGAGGCAUAGGAUGGUUAAGUAACUUGCCUUAGGUUACAGAGAUAUUAAGUGUCAACUCCAAUUUCAGUCGAAGUGGUCUAAAGCUAAAGGCUAUGGUUUUAACACUUAAUUAUAAACUACUUCGAAUAUAGGUAAUAAAAAUAUACAAUACACAUGUCAUUUGAACUAGCAGUCCUUUAAGGAAAGAGAGGAUUGGGUGAAGACCUACGCACAAAUAUGUUCAUGGGGUAUUACUUAAAAGAUCAAGUUAUUGGAAACAACCUAAAUGAUCUACAAAAGGAGAUGGUUACAAAUAACUUUACAUCCUUCAAAUAAAAUGCUGUGGAGAUAUUAAAUAUCAUUCUACGAUAGUUGAAAAUGUAGAGAUAUAUUCAUGAUAUGCUUUUAAGAGAAAAUUGCAGGUUAUUGCACAUUAGGUACUGUGUAAGCCUAAUUUUGUAUGUGUCUAUGCUCAAAUGUUAACUGUGAUAAUCCUAGGAAGCUAGAAUUGUUAGUUAUAUUUUUCUUUUCUGUUGCUGUAUUUUUGAGAUUCUUUAGACACUUACUGCUUUUGUAUCAGAAUAAAAUAUUAAUUGAAAAUUUUCAAUAAAGGCAGAUCAUGUUUUCCAAUUUCUGAUAAGAAGCCUUAAAAAUAGUGUUUAUUUAUCCAUAGUUAUGCCCCUUUUCAAUGCAUUUUUAAAUAGAUUAACAAAUUAGAGAAAAAUGACACAUUGUAGCCUAGUACAAAAAACAAAACAAAACAAAGCAUUCUGCCUAUUCAAUGAAAUUUCUGACCACAGAGUGACAGAAUGCUGAUCAUGGUUUGGUUUAUCCCCUAAGGAUGCUGCCCCUACCAGAUAGUGAGUUUUCAGUGAGAGUUUGGGAUACCUAAUGUGCAAACUUCAUUUUGAAAAUAGAAGCAAUGUGGAGAAACAAAGUGAAUAAAGCUAAAUAUUGCUGGUUCCAUUUUAUGCUUAUAGCAAAACCCUUGGAUUCUCAAUUGAUACACCAUUAAUUUUAGUAACAUUAUGGAUCAAAAAGAGUCAUUUGUAUAUCUCUGUCCUGAAAGCCAGUGGUAAAUUGCAAAAGUGAUCAUUAAAGGAUUAAAAUAUGUUGCUAUAGCAACUUCUUAUCAUAUAAGAAGUGUUAGUACAACUAGGGUAUACCAGAAAUGGGUUAGAAAUGGUCUGUGAUUUUAAAAAGUAGGCUUUUUUUUUUUGCACUUUAGGAUUAGUGUGUUACAGAUAUUUUAUUACAUUGAAAUAUAAAGAAAAGAAAAAUAUAUACCUUUUUGUUAUAAUUCUGAAACGUGACCACCUACAUAUUUAUUGGAACUUUAAUUUUGUAAGUGCAAUGGGACAAUGUCUUGCAAAUACAUUUUAUUCAGUAAAUAAAUAAAUUGGGGAGGUUCAACAUGAAGCAUGAUUUAAUGCUUAAUGACUUAUUUUUCUAGUUCUAGUUAUAUAUAAUAAGGAAGGAGGAAAAAUAAAUACAUAAUGAAUGCUUUUCAACUUCCACUGUUGCUUUUGCUACUAUGACCAGAGACUACUUAAUGCCCAGGCUCUACCCUCCUGUGUUUGCUCCCCGACCUUUGUUCAAUUCUAUCGUCUGGUACUAUCUUUCUCUUGCUUUGGGGCCCUUAUUAUUAGGCCUUAGUCUUUGUUUGUAUGAGGUUUUAGAGUUAGUCUUGAGCACUGAGUCUGUAUUAACAUGCACAGAAUGCAUAAAUAUACUCUGCACAAUAUGAUCUGUGCCUAGCUGAUGCUGCAGACCCCUGCCUUCCUUAUCUGCAUGCUCAUUACCUCUAUGUGUGUAGAUAUCUGAGGCCCCACAUCGUUUCUGCAAUAUCAGUGCUAUUUCUGGCUGAUUUUGAUAAUGAGAGGGAUGUUUAAAUUAUUCUCUGGCUGAAAGUGUCUUUAUUCAGUUGUUCAACAAAUUUGUAUUGUGUCUAGUAUGUGUUAGGUUGCAGUGAAGAAAACAGAUGUUAUCUGAACUCAAAAGGAUUAAAAUCUAGUGAUGAAUAAGGAAAUAAACAUAUGAUAAGUACUUUUUUGAAGUUAUAUAAAGAAAAAUAUUAAGUGAUAGAGAAGGAAAUGUGAUACCUAUUUAACCAAAGUAGUAGGGAAAGACUUUGUUCAGAAAUAAUUUUAAACUGAGGCUUGAAGGAUAAAGAGCCAGCUAUGAAAAUAGCGAAAGAGAGAAAAAUCUCCCAGACAGAAGAUACUGCAUGUGCCAAGGUCCUGAGUUGGGAAAAAGCUUGGCAUAUACAUUGGAGGAAGAGAAUGGAAGCUGCUUUCUAAGUAAGAGUAAAAUGGGAGAAAAGUGGGACACAAUAAGGUAGGAGGGCUAGAUACAGACAAAUCCAUUCGAGGAAUUUAGGAUUUGAUUUGGGAUGUGAAGGGAGGGCAGGGACAGAUUUAGGUAGGUAAAUGAUUUGAACAGAUUUAAGUUUUUGUUGUUGUUAUUGUUUUGUUUUUGAGAUGGAGUCUCGUUCUGUUGCCCAUACUGGAGUGCAGUGGCGCAAUCUUGGCUCACUGCAACCUCUGCCUCCCGGGUUCAAGUAAUUCCCCUGCCUCACCUCUCAAGUAGCUGGGAUUACAGGCACACACCACCACGCCUGGCUAAUUUUUUUUUUUUUGUAUUUUUAUUAGAGACGGGGUUUCACCGUGUUGGCCAGACUCUUCUCGAACUCCUGACAUCAGGCAAUCAGCUCGCCUCAGCCUCCCAAAGUGCUGGGAUUACAGAUAUGAGCGACCACGCCCGGCCAGAUUUAAGUUUUUAAAAGAUUAUUCUGAAGCAGUGUGGAGAAUACACUGGAGGAAACCGGGAAGUUCCAUGUGAAGGUUACUGUGAUACCCUAGGUGAGCAGCGUUGGAGAAUUGGAUGAGAACACAAGAGGAGAGACAGACAGUAAUAGAGUCAAGAAAUAUAAAGCAGAAUAAUAAAGCUUGCUGAUGGAUUGGAGAACAUUCUUAGCGUAUGACCCGGGCAUAGGGUACCGGUUAAGUUCUCCAUUCUGGAAAGAUGAGACGAAAGAUUCACUGUUGCAGAGUCUGUCUAAGGUAUGAGUGUCCCCUCUCUGGGACAGAUUCCACUGCCAUUCUUCCGACCACAAGAAGGAAACUUCAGACACCAAAGAAGAGGCACCAGUCAACUAAUUAAACGGGAGGAUUUUUUUCUAUAAAAUAUAAAAUUAUAUGAGUUUAAGUUUUCUUAGUUUCUGUUUUCUUCUACCAGUUCUAAUAGUUUAAAAGUUGUGUAUUUUAUUUAUAUUCCAGUAGUUACUCAUAAAACAUUACCUAACAUACUAAAAUUAUUGUUUCCUAUUAAUUAUAGAACAUUUUAU